rnacentral:rRNA from 1 species
GAAGCGUUUGGUGCGUUACAAUUGCAGCGGAGACGUUAACGACUCUGGGCUGGCCCUCUGGAGUCGAGCGGCGGACGGGAGAGUAAUGCUAGGGAAAUGCCUUAUGGUGGGGGACAACAGUUGGAAACGACUGCUAAUACCGCAUGAUGUCUACGGACCAAAGUGGGGGACCUUCGGGCCUCACGCCAUAAGAUUAGCCCAAGUGGGAUUAGCUAGUUGGUGAGGUAAUGGCUCACCAAGGCGACGAUCCCUAGCUGGUUUGAGAGGAUGAUCAGCCACACUGGGACUGAGACACGGCCCAGACUCCUACGGGAGGCAGCAGUGGGGAAUAUUGCACAAUGGGCGCAAGCCUGAUGCAGCCAUGCCGCGUGUGUGAAGAAGGCCUUCGGGUUGUAAAGCACUUUCAGUAAGGAGGAAAGGUUAAGUGUUAAUAGCACUUAGCUGUGACGUUACUUACAGAAGAAGCACCGGCUAACUCCGUGCCAGCAGCCGCGGUAAUACGGAGGGUGCGAGCGUUAAUCGGAAUUACUGGGCGUAAAGCGUACGCAGGCGGUUUGUUAAGCGAGAUGUGAAAGCCCCGGGCUCAACCUGGGAACUGCAUUUCGAACUGGCAAACUAGAGUGUGAUAGAGGGUGGUAGAAUUUCAGGUGUAGCGGUGAAAUGCGUAGAGAUCUGAAGGAAUACCGAUGGCGAAGGCAGCCACCUGGGUCAACACUGACGCUCAUGUACGAAAGCGUGGGGAGCAAACAGGAUUAGAUACCCUGGUAGUCCACGCCGUAAACGAUGUCUACUAGAAGCUCGGGUCUUCGGACUUGUUUUUCAAAGCUAACGCAUUAGGUAGACCGCCUGGGGAGUACGGCCGCAAGGUUAAACUCAAAUGAAUUGACGGGGGCCCGCACAAGCGGUGGAGCAUGUGGUUUAAUUUCGAUGCACGCGAAGACCCUUACCUACACUUGACAUACAGAGAACUUACCAGGAGAU